UAUAGUCGGCAUUUAUUUUUUUGGUUUUGCAGAAGAAUUCAAAACUAGAAAAAUUAUUGUGCCGAUGUUAUACUUCAUUCUACUCUAUACAUUUUCAAUGUUCAUUUCCACUCGUCAAAUGUUUCGUCGAGUGUUUAUAAUAUCUUCGAAAAAAUGUGAUUUCGAUUGUCUAAUAUUUUCAACGGCAACCCUUAUCGUUCUGGUUCCAACAAUGCUAAUUCCUUUUGCAUUUUGGUUUCACACUAAACGUGCAGUUGUGUUCUGGGAAAACUGCUAUGAUUUUCAGGUUGUAUUCACCUUAAUUUUAUAGCACUGUUGACAAUUACGGGUGCAAAAAACGAAUGAUAUUCGAUCAUCAAUUACUCAACUUGCAGAUUCGUUAUGAAUUACUAGUGGGAAAUCCGAUCAGAACUCAAGAUAAAAAAUUCAUCACUUUUUUUGUGAUUAUUUCUGUAAUCAUUGUUUUACUGGUGACCACUCUUCCUUCAGCAUUCAUAUCAAGUUUUCAUUUUGUUGCCACAUCGACGUAUUACAUCGUUUUCGGCGGUUUUAUUGCAGGUGUUGCUUACUGGUUAUCAGGCUGCUUAUUUUUAAAACAAGUAGCUGAUAAUAUUAUAAUAUUCAUGGACAAGUCAUUUACGGCAUGGUUAGUUCGAAAAAAAAACAUCGCAAUUUGUUACGAAUUAUGGGCAGCAGCGCAAGACUUAUUAAAAGAGUUUGGAAAUUCUAUGGAAUCAUUUAUAAUGAUUUAUGGAUUUACAUUGAUGCUUACCAUGUUAAACGCAAUGUAUGGCUUUGUAUCUCAGUUAUACACCACUGAGCUAUAUAGCAAAAAUAUAAGGCAUGCUUGCGGGCAUUUCAUCUUGUUUCUUUGGAGCUCUACAUUGAUUUUUGUUAUUAACGAAUCAUCAUAUCAAGUGAUUAAUACGUUCACCAACAAAUUUAAAGCAUUUCUGUUUUUCAUGAACAUGAAUCAUGUGAGCACUGCGACAAAAAAUGAAGU